UAGUCAUGAGUCAUGCUGGUAGCCUCACUGGCUUUUUUCCAGGCGUAAGGACAGCUAACACAAAUCUUAUGAGGACAGUUAAAUCCUGCAACGCUGGAAUCUGAGGUCAUCUGAGGCAUUGGAAACCAAAUAACUGGAAUCUGCAGAAUGAGAGAGGCUAGACGGUGGAGUGCCAGAAUCCUGCCCAGGACAAACCCAGGU